AACCUUACCUGGUCUUGACAUAGUAAGAACUUUCCAGAGAUGGAUUUGGUGCCUUUCGGGAACUUUACAUACAGGUGCUGCAUGGCUGUCGUCAGCUCGUGUCGUGAGAUUGUUGGGUUUAAGUCCCGCAACGAGCGCAACCCUUUUUCCUUAUUUGCCAGUGGGUUAAGCCGGGAACUUUAAGGAUACUGCCAGUGACAAACUGGAGGAAGGCGGGGACGACGUCAAGUCAUCAUGGCCCUUACGACCAGGGCUACACACGUGCUACAAUGGUCGGUACAAAGGGUUGCUACCUAGCGAUAGGAUGCUAAUCUCAAAAAGCCGAUCGUAGUCCGGAUUGGAGUCUGCAACUCGACUCCAUGAAGUCGGAAUCGCUAGUAAUCGCGGAUCAGAAUGCCGCGGUGAAUACGUUCCCGGGCCUUGUACACACCGCCCGUCACACCAUGGGAAUUUGUUGCACCAGAAGUAGGUAGUCUAACCGCAAGGAGGACGCUUACCACGGUGUGGCCGAUGACUGGGGUGAAGUCGUAACAAGGUAAGCGUAGAUGA
rnacentral:rRNA from 1 species